rnacentral:rRNA from 1 species
UAGAAGAUGACGAGUGGCGGACGGGUGAGUAAUGCUUGGGAACUUGCCUUUGCGAGGGGGAUAACAGUUGGAAACGACUGCUAAUACCGCAUAAUGUCUUCGGACCAAACGGGGCUUCGGCUCCGGCGCAAAGAGAGGCCCAAGUGAGAUUAGCUAGUUGGUAAGGUAACGGCUUACCAAGGCGACGAUCUCUAGCUGUUCUGAGAGGAAGAUCAGCCACACUGGGACUGAGACACGGCCCAGACUCCUACGGGAGGCAGCAGUGGGGAAUAUUGCACAAUGGGGGGAACCCUGAUGCAGCCAUGCCGCGUGUGUGAAGAAGGCCUUCGGGUUGUAAAGCACUUUCAGUUGUGAGGAAAAGUUAGUAGUUAAUACCUGCUAGCCGUGACGUUAACAACAGAAGAAGCACCGGCUAACUCCGUGCCAGCAGCCGCGGUAAUACGGAGGGUGCGAGCGUUAAUCGGAAUUACUGGGCGUAAAGCGCACGCAGGCGGUUUGUUAAGCUAGAUGUGAAAGCCCCGGGCUCAACCUGGGAUGGUCAUUUAGAACUGGCAGACUAGAGUCUUGGAGAGGGGAGUGGAAUUCCAGGUGUAGCGGUGA